rnacentral:misc_RNA from 1 species
CGCCACCCAACAAAGUCACCCUCUUUUUUCUAUUUCCGUUGCCGCUAAAUCCGCUGCCUUUCGAUUACUCCGCCGUUUCAACCAUCUUCGCCGUCUCCGCGUCCAUCUUCGCUUAAUUCUCCUCUUAUCUCUCCCAUUUUUCUACUUCUUGGUCUCCCAUCCCAGUCACCCUUUCCUCCUUGACUUCCUAUCCGCCUUCGCUUUCUCCGCUGCUUUAUUAUUCUCUCUAAAUCUCGCUCUCCC